AGUGAACGCUGGCGGUAGGCCUAACACAUGCAAGUCGAACGGCAGCACAGUAAGAGCUUGCUCUUACGGGUGGCGAGUGGCGGACGGGUGAGGAAUACAUCGGAAUCUACUUUUUCGUGGGGGAUAACGUAGGGAAACUUACGCUAAUACCGCAUACGACCUACGGGUGAAAGCAGGGGAUCUUCGGACCUUGCGCGAUUGAAUGAGCCGAUGUCGGAUUAGCUAGUUGGCGGGGUAAAGGCCCACCAAGGCGACGAUCCGUAGCUGGUCUGAGAGGAUGAUCAGCCACACUGGAACUGAGACACGGUCCAGACUCCUACGGGAGGCAGCAGUGGGGAAUAUUGGACAAUGGGCGCAAGCCUGAUCCAGCCAUACCGCGUGGGUGAAGAAGGCCUUCGGGUUGUAAAGCCCUUUUGCUGGGAAAGAAAAGUAGCAGGUUAAUACCCCGCUGUUCUGACGGUACCCAAAGAAUAAGCACCGGCUAACUUCGUG
rnacentral:rRNA from 1 species